rnacentral:rRNA from 1 species
AGUGAACGCUGGCGGCGUGCCUAAUACAUGCAAGUCGAACGGAAUUUAAAAGAGCUUGCUCUUUUGAAUUUAGUGGCGCACGGGUGAGUAAUAUAUAGCUAAUCUGCCCCUUGCUGGAGGACAACAGUUAGAAAUGACUGCUAAUACUCCAUACUCCUUUUUACCAUAAGAUAAAUCGGGAAAGAAUUUCGGCAAGGGAUGAGACUAUAUCGUAUCAGCUAGUCGGUGGGGUAACGGCCUACCGAGGCUAUGACGCGUAACUGGUCUGAGAGGAUGAUCAGUCGCAUUGGAACUGAGACACGGUCCAAACUCCUACGGGAGGCAGCAGUAGGGAAUAUUGCGCAAUGGGGGAAACCCUGACGCAGCAACGCCGCGUGGAGGAUGACACUUUUCGGAGCGUAAACUCCUUUUGUUAGGGAAGAAUAAUGACGGUACCUAACGAAUAAGCACCGGCUAA